rnacentral:rRNA from 1 species
CCUACGGGAGGCUGCAGUGGGGAAUAUUGCACAAUGGGGGGAACCCUGAUGCAGCGACGCCGCGUGGGUGAGGAAGUACUUCGGUAUGUAAAGCCCUAUCAGCCGGGAAGCAAAUGCCGGUACCUGACUAAGAAGCCCCGGCUAACUACGUGCCAGCGGCCGCGGUAAGACGUAGGGGGCAAGCGUUAUCCGGAUUUACUGGGUGUAAAGGGAGCGUAGUCGGCGUGCCAAGUCUGAUGGGAAAGGCCGGGGCUCAACCCCGGGACUGCAGUGGAAACUGGCAUGCUGGAGUGGCGGAGGGGCAAGCGGAAUGCCUAGUGUAGCGGUGAAAUGCGUAGAGAUUAGGAGGAACUCCGGUGGCGAAGGCAGCAUGCUGGACGGUAACUGACGUUGAGGCACGAAAGCGUGGGGAGCGAACAGGAUUAGAUACCCUGGUAGUC